UACGGAGGGUGCAAGCGUUGUCCGGAAUCACUGGGUGUAAAGGGUGUGUAGGCGGGACUGUAAGUCAGUGGUGAAAGCCUACGGCUUAACCGUAGAAUUGCCUCUGAUACUGCAGUUCUUGAGUCCCGGAGAGGUCACUGGAAUUCGUGGUGUAGCGGUGAAAUGCGUAGAUAUCACGAGGAACACCAGAGGUGUAGACGGGUGACUGGACGGCGACUGACGCUGAGGCACGAAAGCGUGGGGAGCGAACAGG
rnacentral:misc_RNA from 1 species